GGUAUUUUGACUAUACGAAGGUAUUGAAAUAAGAUUUUAAAUGAGUGCUAAGAGAAUGAUUUAACAAUUAAAGGCUUUCUUUAAUUUAAUAAUUGAAAUUAAUUUUUUUAGUGCAAAAGCAAAAAUUUUAUUUAGGGACAAGAAGACCCUAUGAAUUUUUUAAUUCUUUUAUUAUAAAUUUAUAAUAAAAGAAUUUAAUUGGGGUGAUUGGAAAAGAAUAAGUAUCUUUUUAUAAAUAAAAAUUUAGUUCCGUUUUUAACGAUUAAAUGAAAAAAAUACUCUAGGGAUAACAGCGUAAUAAUUUUGGAUAGUUCAUAUAGAUAAAAUAGUUUGCGACCUCGAUGUUGGAUUAGGAUUCUUUUUCGGUGAAGAAGUU
rnacentral:rRNA from 1 species